ACUGCCAACCCAGAAGGGUUGGUGAACUCUGACCUAAGGAACCCCUCUAAGAGGUUGGGAAUAUUAUGGGUCCUUUCAGCCAAGGAAAGUUGGCUAGUAUGAACCUGGAGAUGUGUUUUCUCUACCAUAAUUACUCCCUCCAGAACAGUGUUCCUUCAGAGAUCAGAACAAUACUCACACUGUUGGCCUUUCUUAAGAUGGUUUCAGUGUGGAAGAUAAUAUCAGGAAUCCUAACAGAUGGAACAGGAAAGUUUCCCUUCCCCCCAAAAAAGCUAUGUCAUUUUAUUCAUUUCACUGUAUACUUUUAAGUUAUUCAGAUUUGGCUUAUAUCAUUGGUAGGUUUUGCUCUCUGUGCUAUAAGCCAUCCUGUGAUUUAUUUGGUUUGGGCUAAAUAUGAUGUGUAAAUCCAAUCAACAGUUUGUAAAUGAUAAUUUAUGGCCUUGCGUGUUGUGUGAAUCUAGCCAAGGGUGGUUCCUUAAAUAAGAUACACUUAAAAAAUAAAAUGUGAAUUACAG